GUGCCCUUAUUUGUCAUUAUCUAUAUGUUUAAUUUUGUGGCUGUGAACCCAAGCAUCUUACCAAGAAUUAGACACAUGUUAAAUAUUGGACUGUUGCAUUGUGAUGCUCAUAAAUUAACAGGUUGCAUUGAUUGCAUCCUUUAACAAGCCAAAGUCCUCCAGAAAGGUCAACUAACAUCAAACCAUAGUUUAAGCUCUUAUAUGGUGUAAAGGGAAUUCUGAAUAUCAAUUGUUAGUGCUCAUGACAUAAAUCCAAUGUGGAAUAAAGUAUUGAAUAUAGAUAUUUAAAAUACAUUUUUUAUAUAUAAACUAUCUAAUUAACAGUAUUAAGAAUUUAUGCAAAAUCUCUUUGCUCACACUCAAUCCACCUUUCUCCAUCCCCUCAUCAGGUCUUAAGGCCUUCAUCGGAACUGAAUAAAAAGGCCUUUUUGCUGCCUUUCAGGAUCAUUUUUCAGGUGCUGGGAUGAUUUAGAGAAUUUGCCUUUUGUUAUCAUGCUGAAGUAGGAUAGCAUCUGGGGUAGGUUUUACAAAGAUGAGCAAUGGACUACUAGCCAUUAAUGUUGCUGCUGCACAUACCUUGGAUAAAAACAUGGUUGAGGCCAACUCUGCAAGCAAUAGAGCAAGUAAGACGCCUUUACAUUUACUUCAUUUCAGACCUUCUUUAUGUAGUGGUAUGUGUGUAUUUAUUAUUUUUUCUGCACUUAGUUAUUUACUUGAAUGCAUCUCAGAUGCUAAGCCACUUGUUUAGCAUAUGAAACAGUUUUUUUUUAUAAUAUUGUUUAGGACUA